rnacentral:rRNA from 1 species
UACGUAGGGGGCGAGCGUUAUCCGGAUUUACUGGGCGUAAAGCGCGUUAAGGCGGUUGGCAACGUUGGUUGUGAAAUCUCAGGGCUCAACCCUGAAAUUGCGACCAAUACUGGUCGACUAGAGUGUGAGAGAGGAAGGUGGAAUUCCCGGUGUAGUAGUGAAAUGCGUAGAUAUCGGGAGGAACACCAGUGGCGAAGGCGGCCUUCUGGCUCAUAACUGACGCUGUAGCGCGAAAGCGUGGGGAGCGAACCGG